rnacentral:rRNA from 1 species
CCUACGGGUGGCAGCAGUGGGGAAUAUUGCACAAUGGGGGCAACCCUGACGCAGCAAAGCCGCGUGAGUGAAGAAGUACUUCGGUAUGUAAAGCCCUGUCAGCCGGGAAGAAAAUGACGGUACCUGACCAAGAAGCCCCGGCAAACUACGUGCCAGCAGCCGCGGUAAUACGUAGGGGGCAAGCGUUAUUCGGAUUUACUGGGUGUAAAGGGAGCGUAGGCGGGAAGGCAAGAUUGGUGUGAAAGCCCGUGGCCCAACCCCGGGACUGCUUUGGUGACCAUGUUUCUGGAGUGAAGGAGGGGUAAGCGGAAUACCUAGUGUAGCGGUGAAAUGCGUAGAUAUUAGGCAGAACACCGGUGGCGAAGGCGGCUUACUGGACAGUAACUGACGCUGAGGCUCGAAAGCGUGGGGAUCAAACAGGAUUAGAUACCCGUGUAGUC